rnacentral:rRNA from 1 species
UACGUAGGGGGCUAGCGUUGUCCGGAAUCAUUGGGCGUAAAGCGCGUGUAGGCGGUUCGGUAAGUCUGCUGUGAAAGUCGGGGGCUCAACCCUCGAAUGCCGGUGGAUACUGUCGGACUAGAGUGCGGAAGAGGCGAGUGGAAUUCCUGGUGUAGCGGUGAAAUGCGCAGAUAUCAGGAGGAACACCGGUGGCGAAGGCGGGUCUCUGGGCAACAACUGACGCUGAGGAGCGAAAGCGUGGGGAGCGAACAGG